rnacentral:misc_RNA from 1 species
GAUGAAGAACGUAGCAAAAUGCGAUAAGUAAUGUGAAUUGCAGAAUUCAGUGAAUCAUCGAAUCUUUGAACGCACAUUGCGCCCUUUGGUAUUCCUUAGGGCAUGCCUGUUCGAGCGUCAUUUAAACCUUCAAGCUAAGCUUGGUGUUGGGUGACUGUCCGCUUCACGGCGGACUCGCCUCAAAAUUAUUGGCGGCCGGUACAUUGGCUUCGAGCGCAGCAGAAACGCGAACUCGGGCCCGUCGUAUUGGCUCCCAGAAGCUAUCUUCACAAUUUUGACCUCGGAUCAGGUAGGGAUACCCGCUGAACUUAAGCAUGUCAAUAAGCGGAGGA